UACGUAGGGGGCAAGCGUUGUCCGGAAUCAUUGGGCGUAAAGAGCGUGUAGGCGGCCCGAUAAGUCCGCCGUGAAAGUCCAGGGCUCAACCCUGGAAUGCCGGUGGAAACUGUCGGGCUGGAGUCCGGAAGAGGCGAGUGGAAUCCUGGUGUAGCGGUGAAAUGCGCAGAUAUCAGGAGGAACACCAAUGGCGAAGGCAGCUCGCUGGGACGGUACUGACGCUGAGACGCGAAAGCGUGGGGAGCAAACAGG
rnacentral:rRNA from 1 species